rnacentral:rRNA from 1 species
UACGGGGGGGGCAAGCGUUGUUCGGAAUUACUGGGCGUAAAGGGCUCGUAGGUGGCCAACUAAGUCAGACGUGAAAUCCCUCGGCUUAACCGGGGAACUGCAUCUGAUACUGGAUGGCUUGAGUUUGGGAGAGGGAUGCGGAAUUCCAGGUGUAGCGGUGAAAUGCGUAGAUAUCUGGAGGAACACCGGUGGCGAAAGCGGCUCACUGGACCUGAUCUGACACUGAGGUGCGAAAGCUAGGGUAGCAAACGGG